GAUGAAGAACGUAGCGAAAUGCGAUAAGUAGUGUGAAUUGCAGAAUUCAGUGAAUCAUCGAAUCUUUGAACGCACAUUGCGCCCCUUGGUAUCCCGAGGGGCAUGCCUGUUCGAGCGUCAUUUCAACCCUCAAGCCCCCGGGUUUGGUGUUGGGGAUCGGCUCUGCCUUCUGGCGGUGCCGCCCCCGAAAUACAUUGGCGGUCUCGCUGCAGCCUCCAUUGCGUAGUAGCUAACACCUCGCAACUGGAACGCGGCGCGGCCAUGCCGUAAAACCCCAACUUCUGAAUGUUGACCUCGGAUCAGGUAGGAAUACCCGCUGAACUUAAGCAUAUCAAUAAGCGGAGGA
rnacentral:misc_RNA from 1 species